AGUGAACGCUGGCGGCGGGCUUAACACAUGCAAGUCGAACGGCAGCGCACUAAGAGCUGGCUGUAAUGGUGGGCGAGUGGCGGAUGGGUGGGGAAUAAACCGCAAUUUACUCUUUCGUGGGCGAGAACGAAGGGAACUUAACGCUGAUACGGCAUACUACCUACGGGUGAAAGCAGGAGAGCUUCGGACGUUGUGGGUUGGAUCGAGCCGAUGUCGGAUUAGCGUGUGGGCGGGGUAAAGGCACACCAAGGCGAGGAGCCGGAGCGGGUGGGAGAGGAUGAUCAGCCACACUGGAACUGAGACACGGUCCAGACGCCUACGGGAGGCAGCAGUGUGGAAUAUUGGGCAAUGGGCGCAAGCCUGAUCCAGACAUACCGCGUGGGUGAAGAAGGCCUUCGGGUUGUAAAGCCCUUUUGUUGGGAAAGAACAGCAGCAGGUUGAGACCCAGCUGUUCUGACGGUACCCAAAGAAUAAGCACCGGCUAACUACGUG
rnacentral:rRNA from 1 species